GUGGUGGCUAUGGCUGUAUUCCAACCACAUUCAUGAAUUCGACUGAGAGCAGUGACAAAAUAGUUACCUUUUCCUGGGAAAUGUCAGAGCUUUCACUGCUGCUGCUGCUGCUGUCGCUGCUGUCGCUGCUGCUGUCACUGCUGUCACUGCUGUCACUGCUGUCACUGCUGCUGCUGCUACUGCUGCUGUCACUGCUGUCACUGCUAUCACUGCUGUCACUGCUGUCAC